GGAAUAGUUGAUAGACGAAGCAGGGAAAAAUCACCCUCCCUGUUCCUUACACAAACACUGUGUGCUUGUGCUAAUCUGGCAAUCCAUCUUACAAUCACCAAACAGUACAGAGCAAGGAAGCAAUUCACACCGAAAUAGUGCUCCUCAGAGCUUUUCAUAGCUUGAUGCCUAUUGCAGCUGCUUAUAUUGUACCAGCAGCAGGUGGAAUAAAAAUCCUGUCAGUGGAUGUGAAUCUCCUAUUGUGAUCCCUGAAGUUCCGCUGAGCUCAAGACAGAUGGACACCCUGCAGCAGCUGCACAAAAUGGCUCUCAGAUCUGACCCGCAUACAAAGCAGAGAGCAUGAGAGUGCUCCAAAGAGAGCUGGCAGCCUCUUGACGUCCGUAAAAUACAAGGCUGGCUCUGGCUUUGACCCUCGCACAUCCCCUAAAACAUGGUAAAGGAAUAGAGAAGUGCUGCACUGCAUUCUUGGAAUUAUUCCAGUCAAUUUGAAUAUAUGACCAAUAUUUGAAUGUAAGACCAUUUAUCAGCUAUUCUGUGUUAUCUGAUAAUACGCUAUCAUCCUUCCAACCUCAAAGACCAGGAGACUAAAUGGUUCAAUAGUGUUUUUUCUUUUCUGUGGCAUUUCCAGGUGACAUAUCUUAUAGUGAGAUAAAAAUAAGGGUAAUACUGUUAGACUGUCUCUUUUCUAGCUGCACAAAAAUAUCCCAUCCUGCCCAUGUGGGACGUGGAUGGCAGGAAACUGACCCGCCUGGCGAGGAGAGAUGGUUGCCUCCAGGAAGGAGUCAAGAGGCCAAACACUGGACACAGGGUGAGGAGUGAGUGCUUGCCAACUCUGGAAAGGAGUCCUAUGCCUGGAUCUUGUCCCAUUGUGCUGGCUGAGCACCACAGGGGACUUUCAAGUGGCACAAAUUCUCGGCUGCACACGGUACCUAAGCCACAGACUGAAAAAUUAUGCAAGCAGGGUCCAGUGCUAAGAAACAGACUAGUGGGACCAAAGGAAGUAGAAUCAAGGUCCUUGCACAAGUAAACUUGGUUUGUGAAUGGGAGAUACAGGAAAAUGUGAAACAGAGAAGACAGAAAACUGACCAGGCAAACUCUCCUGCUCCC
ensembl:lncRNA